rnacentral:tRNA from 1 species
UCUCUGGAGGACUAGUGGUCAGGCCAUGGCACUCUUGCCGCCAUAGCCUGGGUUUGAUUCCCAGCCAGGGAA